UGGGGAAUUUUGCGCAAUGGGGGAAACCCUGACGCAGCAACGCCGCGUGAGUGAUGAAGGCCUUCGGGUCGUAAAGCUCUGUCAGAGGGGAAGAAAUGCAGGGGUGCUAAUAUCAUCUUUGCUUGACGGUACCCUCAAAGGAAGCACCGGCUAACUCCGUGCCAGCAGCCGCGGUAAUACGGAGGGUGCGAGCGUUGUUCGGAAUUAUUGGGCGUAAAGCGCGUGUAGGCGGUUUGGUAAGUCUGAUGUGAAAGCCCCGGGCUCAACCUGGGAAGGGCAUUGGAAACUGACAGACGUGAAGACGGGAGAGGGGAGUGGAAUGCCUAGUGUAGGAGUGAAAUCCGUAGAUAUUAGGAGGAACACCGGUGGCGAAGGCGGCUACCUGGACCGAUAUUGACGCUGAGACGCGAAAGCGUGGGGAGCAAACAG
rnacentral:rRNA from 1 species